rnacentral:lncRNA from 10 species
CUUAAAGUAGGUACAAAGGAAUGUAAGGGAGUUUAUCUACAUAGCUUGUUUACUCAUGUGGUCCUAAGACCAACCUUUGAUCAUUCACAGAACUGAUCUCUCUGGGAGAGGGUGACCAGAUUAAUUACCCAAAGGCGUGUUAACUCAAAGCCUUUGUCAUUAAAUCUGUACUGAAUAAAUGCCUGCAGAGCCAGCUAGUCAGAGUGUGCAUGCGGCUGCUACAACUCUGUGAUUGGCACAGCCCCCUGGCCUACUCUUUCACUGAAUAUCAGUGUCUGAGUACAUUAUUCAUCCAUUGUGCAGCCUAGGUCUGUGGGUCAGACCCCAGCAGGUGGUGCCUCGUGUGAGGAACGCUGCAACGGACUGGUGAUUGUGACGGAACCCUUGAAAACGAAGGUGAAAAGGACUGUGCAGUCAGUCCUCUUUGAAUUCCAGCACGAUGCAUCAAACCAUACCAUGGCAUGGCUAGGACCCAACCCAGUACCAGAAAUGAAGAAAAGGACCCUACAGGACCCGCAUCCCCAUGCUGAAAAAGACAACUCAAGAGGCUGAACAAAUCCUGCUCCAGACACACACAUCAUUCACUCCAGUUCACCCAAUUCAAAGCCAUGUUUGGAGAUUUCUGUAUCCAGAAGCAGAGUCUGAAAGAAAUACGUCUCCCAUAAUGGAAACUGAAGAACAAGGACAACUUUUUGAGAGUGAUAAUUUGGAAAAAGAAUGUAUUUUAGCACUCCACACAAUAUAACACAGGCAUGCUUGUCAGCAUGCUUCAUUUUUAAACUAACUCUGAUAGAAGAUGUUUUCUGAUUGUGACUCAUUAUUUGUUGGAUGGUAUAUUUUAUAUAGCACAAAAAAGAUACCCUUUAUAAGUAAUGGUCCAUCUUAAUUGGGAUAUAACUUAAAAAUUCAAUAAACUGUAAAAGAGUGAAGUAGAACGUAGGAAUGUGAAGCAAAAACAAAGAAACGAAAUAUAGUGCAGCCUUCAUUAGAUUAUUUCAAUUGGAAAUGAUAUCUUUUGGUGUGGUUAUUUGAACAAGUUAUUAGAAAAAUCACUACUGCUAUUUUACCUGCAAUUGUUAAUGUGAUAGUUUUUCACUGCCUUGGAUGGAAUGAAAGAUCUCCAGUUAUUUAUUUCUAUAACUUCUAUGCAGCCAGUAAAAUUCUUGACUGGUACAGGCAUCUGAGAGAGAGAGAGAGAGAGAGAAGUAGAGAUAAUUUAAAUGAUUUUCUUGAAUAUAUUAUUCUUGCUUCAAACUGGUCAGGGUAUGCAACUGGAUUUGGAGGCUGAUUUGAUUUAUUCUACUUAUUUAUAGUACAGUAAUUCAAAUAUUUUCAUAAAUAUCAAUCCAAAAAGUAAUAGGAUUUUUCCAUAUCUUGGCUAUUAUGAAUAAUGCUGCAAUGAACAUGGGCAAAAUUAUAAAGAAAUUAUGUUUGUGUACAUACAAACACAAUGCUAUUCAACCUUAUAAAAGAAGGAAAUCCUGCCAUUUGUUACAACCUGGAUGAAACUGAAAGAUAUUAUGCUAAGUGAAAUAAGUUAGACACAAACAUAUGUGAUUAUCUCACUUAUAGGUAGACUCUAACAAAAUGAACUCAAAUACACAGAAAUAGACACCAAAUCUGUGGUUAUAAAGCCAAGCAAGGUCUGAGGCUGUGGGUGGGGAAAAAAUGUGCAGAUUUAGGUCAAGAGAUACAAAGCAUCAGAUAUUUAGAAUAAACAAAUCUACAGACCUAAUGUGUAACAUGAGGAUUAUAGUUAAAAAUAUUGCAUUGUAUUUGGGACUUUUGGUGAAUGAAUAGAUUUUAGCUGCUCUUGCUACACACAGAUGAAAAAUGGGUAACUAUAUGUGAUAAUGGAUGUUAAUUUGCUUCACUAUAGUUACUAUUUUACUACCCAUAUGUAUCUCAUAACAUCAUGUAUCUCAUAACAUCAUGUGGCCCAUACCUUAAAUAUAUACAAUAAAAUUUAUUUUAAAAAUUAGUAGGAAAGAAUGUCACCUUAUUCAUCAAAAGUU